CUCAUUUGGAGUAUUAUUAUAGAAAUAGUAGGGCGCUUUGCUAUUUCCUUCUCCAGCUCACACAGUUAAUGAAUUUCUGAGGAGAUAUUUGAACUCAGGAAGACCAAGCUUGGCAUUUCAUCCACUGCACCACCUAGCAACCCCAGGGUUUGAACUUAGAUCUUUUUCAUACCAUUUAUUUCUCAUGUCUCCACUCUGUCUCUGACAACUAUUUUAUGUAUAAAGUGGAGAGUCUGACAACAAAUGCUUAUUGAGGCAGAACUCUGUACUAGAUGCUGCCUGGGGAAACAAAAGAAAAAACAUCUUCUCUGACCUCCUACUUUAUUAUAAGACAUAGAGACAAUGACAAAAGGGAGGGGAAAACCCCAGCAAAAAUCAUCUCACGGGUGUGA
rnacentral:lncRNA from 1 species